rnacentral:lncRNA from 1 species
CUCAUUUCAGAUUUCAUAGAUAAAAAGAAAAUUUCUUCAAACAUUUUUUUGAGAGGAUUAAUGUUCAACAGCAUAGUGAAUUGCUCAAAGGCAAAAAAAAAAUCUUAAUUUCAUUAGACCACAUUCAUUCUGUGUCAGAAACCUAUGCUGUGUCAACUAUUUAAUCACAAUCCAAAUUUAGAGCUGAAUCCAGCUUGAAUGUUGUGUCCAUACUUGCCCCAAC